rnacentral:rRNA from 1 species
GUUUAUCAAAAACAUGUCUUUUAGAAUUUAAUUUAAAGUCUAACCUGCCCCCUGAAAAAUUUUAAAUGGCCGCAGUAUAUUAACUGUGCAAAGGUAGCAUAAUCAUUAGUCUUUUAAUUGGAGGCUGGAAUGAACGGUUGGAUGAAAUAUAAACUGUUUCAUAUAAAUUAGUAUUAAAAUUUUAUUUUUUAGUUAGAAAGCUAAAAUUUAAUUAAAAGACGAGAAGACCCUAUAAAUCUUAGUAUUUUAUUGGGGUGAUAAUAAAAUUUUAAAAACUUUUAAUUUAUUAUAAACAUAAAUUAAUGAAUUAAUGAUCCAUUUAUUAUGAUUAAAAAAUUAAGUUACUUUAGGGAUAACAGCGUAAUUUUUUUAGAAAGUCCUUAUUAAUAAAAAAGAUUGCGACCUCGAUGU